rnacentral:rRNA from 1 species
CCUACGGGAGGCAGCAGUGAGGAAUAUUGGUCAAUGGACGAGAGUCUGAACCAGCCAAGUAGCGUGAAGGAUGACUGCCCUAUGGGUUGUAAACUUCUUUUAUAUGGGAAUAAAAUGUUCCACGUGUGGGCUUUUGUAUGUACCAUAUGAAUAAGGAUCGGCUAACUCCGUGCCAGCAGCCGCGGUAAUACGGAGGAUCCGAGCGUUAUCCGGAUUUAUUGGGUUUAAAGGGAGCGUAGGUGGAUUGUUAAGUCAGUUGUGAAAGUUUGCGGCUCAACCGUAAAAUUGCAGUUGAAACUGGCAGUCUUGAGUACAGUAGAGGUGGGCGGAAUGCGUGGUGUAGCGGUGAAAUGCUUAGAUAUCACGAAGAACUCCGAUUGCGAAGGCAGCUCACUGGACUGCAACUGACACUGAGGCUCGAAAGUGUGGGUAUCAAACAGGAUUAGAUACCCUUGUAGUC